rnacentral:rRNA from 1 species
GAUGAACGCUGGCGGCGUGCCUAAUACAUGCAAGUCGAGCGAACAGACGAGGAGCUUGCUCCUCUGACGUUAUCGGCGGACGGGUGAUUAACACGUGGAUAACCUACCUAUAAGACUGGGAUAACUUCGGGAAACCGUAGCUAAUACCGGAUAAUAUAUUGAACCGCAUUGUUCCCUAGUUAAAGACGGUUUUGCUGUCACUUAUAGAUUGAUCCGCGCCGCAUUAGCUAGUUGGUAAGGUAACGGCUUACCAAGGCAACGAUGCGUAGCCGACCUGAGAGGGUGAUCGGCCACACUGGAACUGAGACACGGUACAGACUCCUAGGGGAGGCAGCAGUAGGGAAUCUUCCGCAAUGGGCGAAAGGCUGACGGAGCAACGCCGCGGGAGUGAUGAAGGUCUUAGGAUCGUAAAACGCUGUUAGUAGGGAAGAACAAAUGUGUAAGUAACUAUGCACGUCUUGACGGUACCUAAUCAGAAAGCCACGGCUAACUACGUG